GGGAGAGGCCCUUGCAAUGGCUCUUAUGUGCCCCCACAGCCCUAUUAGGAAUAGGAGGAAAAUCUUAUCCUAACAUGAGCUGAAAUUGAUUGUGUCGGGAACAAGACGAGAACCUCAUCCUGACACAAAUGAAGAUCUGAUCGUUUGAGACCGGAUGAGGGGAAAAGCCUCUCAGUGGCUCCUCUACACCCCUACAAUCUCGUUAGGAGCAGAGGAAAAACCCUCACCCAAACAUAAAGAAAGGGAGAGAGAAAAAAGAAAAGCGACGAGCUACACCAGAGAUAAGGAAGAAACUAACUACAUCUAAGACUCAAUGGACCUCGUCUCAAUGAGGAAAAAAACUCUUGUUGAAAAUCCUCAGUCUCUAAGGGGGAACCCAACACUAGCAAGAGAAAAUGGACUUCCUCAAAGUAACGAGAAGUUUGGGCCCC
rnacentral:lncRNA from 1 species